AUGGACUUGAUCUAGCACGCGCUUUGGCUUUGCCUAGCUUUCUCAACCUUUUUUCCCGGGGGUGAGUUGACUCGCUCCGUUGACCUGCAAAAGCUGCCAAGAGAUGCUUUUGUGAGCAUAUUUGGCGCCUUUGAGGUUAACAGCUUUACUGUCUCGGGUGGAUGAUGGGCAUAUUUUUGACUGAGGAUGGUGCGCAUUAUUGAAUAGAAAUUCUUUGGUCAUGUCAUGUGGGCCACGGCUUUCUUUUUUUUUGUUGUCCGUCGUGCUUAUCUCCUGCUGCUUUAAGUUUGCACAAGGAAAAAAAUGUUUUUCAUGUAGUACUGUGAGCCGUGUAUAAAAAAUUGAAAAGUGUUAGAAAAGUAGUGUUAGAAUAGUAGUAGGAAAAGCCUAGCAGGGAAGACGAGGACACAAGAAGAGGCUGGAAAAGGGCCCGGCCAGGCCACCAUGGCUGGAGAAGUCAAUGGAAGGUUUGCUCUUGGCGUUUGCGGUUUGCCCCCAGCAGCACGAGUCACGGGCCUUCACUGUUCACUUCCAUCGAGCUACUCCAAGCUAGAGACAACAGGAGCCAGACCUUUUCU
rnacentral:lncRNA from 1 species